rnacentral:rRNA from 1 species
CCCCUAGAUGUUCUGGGCCGCACGCGCGCUACACUGAACAGUUCAACAAGUCUUAACCUUGGCCGAUAGGUCUGGGUAAUCUUUGAACGCCGGUCGUGAUGGGGAUAGACCUUUGCAAUUUUUGGUCUUCAACGAGGAAUUCCUAGUAAACGCAAGUCAUCAACUUGCAUUGAUUACGUCCCUGCCCUUUGUACACACCGCCCGUCGCACCUACCGAUUGAAUGGUCCGGUGAAACCUCCGGAUUGGCGCGUGCCCUCGGGCGCCGCCGAGAAGUUGGUUAAACCUUACCAUUUAGAGGAAGGUGAAGUCGUAACA